UAAAACUGACCCGCACAAAUUAUUUUCGGUUUUCAGAAUAUGAAGCUUUUUUUUUCAGCUUCUCCUCCUUCCCUAUGUCUGGUUCUCUGCUUCUACUCCUUCCCCUUUGCGUUUACAAUGCUUUGCCCAUCUUCUAAAUUUCCAUUUUCUUCCAUGAAAAACUUCUUGAAGUCUCAUCCCUUCUUUCUCUCUCUUCUCGCAGUAUCCCUGUUAUAUGUUCUCCCGCCGCCACCACCACCACUCAGGCAAAUCACCUCCUUAUCCUCCGCCACACAGAGUUGGUCACCCUCGAAAACUUCCAAUCUCCAAUUUUCAACUAGGGUUGAGAAACCCUAAUUAAGUCGUGAGCUUAAUCUCACCCCCUACAAGGAAGCCUAGGUCUCGAAUGGUCUACUCAAUAGGACUAAGAUCAGAAAGAGGCCAUUUCCAUCCCAGUUGGAAUUAUUACGGUUGGUUAUGGUAAUUCUCUCAUUUUGACUGUUUUGGGGCAAGAGAUCUUGUUUCUGCUGUAUUAUCUGCCGUUUAAGGUUCGUUGUAACUUCAUAUCAAGUCUCAUUAAUUAGCUGCUUAAGCUUUUAAAUGUUGCUCUUAUAUCUACAAGUUAAGUUCACUGUGUAAUUCUGCAUUGAUAUUGAGAUAUGUUAGCUGUUCAUUUCGAUGUUGUGUAUAUUCUCUUCAUUAUUCUUAUUCUUUUUACUAGACUCCUGGGUUAUUUUUUCAGAGUAGCUACACGUUUUCUUGAGACAACAUUUCCCAUAAGUUUUCUUCUCCCCUUGUACUUGCCUUUAUGUUAUUUAUUGAACUAAUUAAAAGGUCCAUUGGCCACUAAAAGUGAAGUUGGUUGUUUGGAUAUCUCUUAGGGAGGAAUAUGUAGAAGCUGCUCCUCUUGGGUGAAUGAGUGAACAUUGAUUUAUUGUCACACUUGUAGUUAGGCGGCUUGUAUGCUAUAUGUUGUCACCCAAGGUCUUCAUGAUAUCUCUUUUAGGCUUGAUAAAAGUAAUGAAAAUGUAGUACAUUUAAACUGUAUAAUUAACAUUUGAGUGAUUUAUCAUAUAUGGCUCAUUUAUGACGGUUAUUUUCUUAUCUCUUAUUGCACUUUAGCAAUUUGAUAUUGAAUCAUGCCUUAAAUUCUGGUUUGAUUAAUGAUGAUAGUGGCAUGUACAGGGUGUAGAUUUUCAUGGUUUUGUGGACUUGUGUACCCCUAUUAAUAUUAUUGUAUCUUAUAUUUUAUGAUAUAAACUUAGUUUAGUUGUAUUUAAUCUAGCAAUACUUACAUGAUAGUACACCAAUUUGUUCAUUAUCUAGGUUCUGUAGCACCUGAUUUCACUUGUUUCGUACCCGACACGAUCAUAGGAGGCCACAAUUCACUCAUCACGACACUAAAGGUAGAGGAAAAUUAAAAUAAAUAAAUAAAGGAAGUUGCAACAGCAUGUGAGUGCUUCUUCAUUGUUUUGGUGAUAAGUUUUAUGGUUUAAUGUGCUAAUAAUUUCAGCUGUACUAACAUCUUUUGUUGCGAAUCAUCGAAGUAAGCUCUUUGCAUCUGUUGUAGAUAUGAAUUGGGAGCUUUAAGUUCCAGUAAGAUGAUGACAUAUAAAAGGAAACUGGUAUCCUCACAUAGGAGAGCUUAAACUACAGUUCGGAAUUUGGAGAAUAUACAAAUGAAAGAAUUGAGUACAUCUCACUAGUGAGGUAUUCAACAAUCCGAGGGAGCAACUUUUUACCAUUGAGUAGAUAAAUGAAGUUCGAGAAAAGUUGGCAAAGUUCAUUACCAUUUUUUGUCUUUGAUAUUUUCUUGUAGUGAAUCUUGAUUAUGGAUGCUAGUUUUUCAUAGGAUUUUAAUGUAAUCAAUUUUUAUAUGUAUAAUUAUAUACUAUUCAAUUUAAUUAUCUAUAUAAUUGGAUACUUUUUUUAUGUGA